UACGUAGGGUGCGAGCGUUAAUCGGAAUUACUGGGCGUAAAGCGUGCGCAGGCGGUUAUUUAAGUCGGGUGUGAAAGCCCCGGGCUCAACCUGGGAAUUGCAUUCGAGACUGAAUAGCUAGGGUACGGUAGAGGGAAGCGGAAUUUCCGGUGUAGCGGUGAAAUGCGUAGAUAUCGGAAGGAACAUCAGUGGCGAAAGCGGCUUCCUGGACCAGUACCGACGUUCAGGCACGAAAGCGUGGGGAGCAAACAGG
rnacentral:rRNA from 1 species